CACUAAGGCAGCAUCUCUUGGAGACUGCUCCUCAGUGUAGAGUGCCUUAGUGGUUCCCAGCAGACCAAAAGCUUCCAUUGGGAGAACAAUUCUUCUUUGAAAAGGUGUUUAAGAAUUCUGCCGUGGAGAACUUCAAACUUGAACUAUACAACUGCACUAGAAGAAAGCUGAAGGGAAGGCUUGGAGUACAAGCUCCCAUUUACCUGAUGAUAAAUACUGGAGCAUGAUCCUGCAGCCCCAUUUACAACAAAUUCUGUCUGACUGUAUUUGGCAUCGUAAGGCCUUUGGGGUCAAGAUGCUCAGUUUCUAGUUUUGCCUUUUGGGUCUCAGAAGUAUGGAAGCAUUUCAAACCUUGUGCUUCAAAAAGAAUUUAGGAAAUGCACAAGAGAGCCAACUUUUAAAUGAACUGGAAAGAUUUUAUGAGGACAGAAGAUCAACAAGUGACCAGGACUCCAACUGUGAAAGAAAAUGUGAGAAACAGGCACCUCUUCUACUGUGAAAUUGGUCUAAUUCUUGGGGCCUUUAGAGUGGCAGUAUCAAACAACUGGCCAAUAUCGUGUACACUUUCUGCCAUCCACAUGGCAUCAACUCCAUUACCACAUUCUGUGAAGCACUCAAAUUUGCCACAGGUUUAUUUAACCCUUCAUUUGAAAGUGGAGGUGGAAAUUUCUUUCCUCACUGGAAGCUGAAUGUGCUUUUUCUAACACACCUGGGAAGCCAGCCUCAGCCCAUGACUCCAUCCUACACAGAAAUAGCUCUUUAAAAAAAACAAAACAAAACACCUAUACAGCUAGGAGCCAUAUGAACUCAGUAUGCAGAGGUAGCUGAUGGGGUGCAACCCCCUUUUAGUAGACUGCAGGGUAGGCAUGUGGUGUGUUACCCCCCACCCUACAGCUGCAAUGCUGGCAUGCUAUUUAUUUAAACAUGACAAGUAUUUGUGGGGUUUAAUUUACAACAUCUGAUCGUUUUGACGAUUUGGGAGAAUUCUAUGUAUCAUUAAUGAAACAAACUAGAGCUUUGGUAAAUGUAGUCAUGACCUAUGCUUCACAGACCUGAUAUGUCUUUGCCUCCUGCCCUUCUCUGUCACUUGAAGGAAUGAGUGUCAGUGGGUCUGGUUGACAGUUCUGCUUUAGUUUUUAUUCUGUGCUUGUGUUGCCAGGACUUAAAUCUACUACUGCAAGACUCUAUGGUAGGAAAAAAAUGCAGUGUGCAGAAUAGCUCUUCCUUGUUCCUUGGGAAGCAACUCUUGCUAGCCUAGCCACCCCUCCUGUUUAUUGACAGCAUGCAGGAGUAGCUUUUUAACGAAUGUACGUGCUCUUGUGUGAUUGUGUCUUUCUGGAGGGCAAGUCAGGUAAAACUGCUUUUUACUAAAAGUGCAAACACAAAGAAUUGUGAGAUUCCUUAAACAUGGGAUCUGAUUCCUUACAGUCACAAAUUCAUAACAGAUCCUGGUUCACAAUGCUGUAUUGAUCAUCUUUCCAAAGGAAGGAAUCUCCACAACGACAUUAUUGAAGAAAGGAGGAACAUUUUGUUGAGGAGCUGUAUUUCAAGCAAAAUAACCCUCCAAGGAGCAUUCACUUUCAAAUCAGUAACGUGCAAGUGUAGCUAACUCACAAAACAGCAGCCAGUUACAUGCGCAGAUUUCAAUGAGGCUUUUACAAGAAACAAUGGGUCUGUUUUUAAGGGCGGUUGCCCUGUUGAAGUGCAUUUCUCUGAAUGGAUACAAUGCUGUAGUGCUGAAUGGAUUCAAUGGUUCUGUCUCAAACAUGUCCAGGAGUGUCUAGAAGUGGGUGGAGGUAGAAAGAGCUGGUGAGACCCUUCUGGUGGUUGACUCGGGCUGCCUCUUCCAAUCCUUUCUUUGCUCUCACUGGGGCCGCGGUUUCCUUUUCCUCUGCAACAAGCUUCCUUCUCUGCAUGAAUUUUCCCUGUCUGGAUAUAAUAGACUGAAUUUUGCAAAAGUGGACUUAAAGAAUUCAGGCAUAACUUUGCCUGAAUGAGAUGUCUGAGUAGCAGAGGAAUCUCUUAGGAGAAGUCAGUAAUGCCUUGGUUGUCAGGUGCCUUGGCUAUUUGAAACUGGGAAGGAAAAAUACAUGCACAGAUAGAAUAUAACGUAGGAAUCAAUCCUGCCUUGGCCUCUGUAAGGAAAACAAGUGACCUUAAUGAUCUAUUCUCUCUCUAGAGCACUCACAGAGAAAGCCGUGCUCGUUCCAAUUCAGCUGUGUGCCCAGCACACAGCACAAUGGAUCUCACUCCUCGGGAAGCUCUAAGUACCACUGCAAUACAAAUAAACAAGUUCUGCACAA